rnacentral:rRNA from 1 species
CUGACCUCGGAUCAGACGUGAUUACCCGCUGAACUUAAGCAUAUCACUAAGCGGAGGAAAAGAAACUAACCAGGAUUCCCUUAGUAACGGCGAGUGAAGAGGGAAGAGCCCAGCACCGAAGCCUGUGGUCGUUUGACCCCUAGGCAAUGUGGUGUUUAGGUCAGCCCGCGGAGAUACUGCUCCACCCUAAGUCCUAUAAUGAGUAAGGUUACUCGGACGUGGCCCAAUGAGGGUGAAAGGCCCGUGGGGGUGGAGACUCAGAUUGGCCAGUAUCUUCCUGUGCAGACCUUGGAGUCGGGUUGUUUGAGAAUGCAGCCCAAAGUGGGUGGUAAACUCCAUCCAAGGCUAAAUACAUACACGAGUCCGAUAGCGAACAAGUACCGUGAGGGAAAGUUGAAAAGUACUUUGAAGAGAGAGUAAACAGUACGUGAAACCGCUCAGAGGUAAACGGGUGGAGUUGAACUGCAAGCUCUGAGGAUUAAGCUGGUGAGUAUGGCAUGAGCUGGGUCAUAUUGGUUGUUGGUCUGGGUCUGCUUAGCUGCAGGUUCCCGUCCUCGGGCGGAAAUGCGCGUAUCACUUAUCAAGUGUUGUGCGCCCAGACCUUUUCGAACCUUCUCGCCAGUGCACUUUCUCAGGGUGGUCACCACGACCGACGUUGUCGUCUGGCUGUUGCGGUUAAACCGGCCGUGUAGAGUCUUCGUGGCUUUGCACGGUUCGGGAUGGCAGGUAGCCUGUUGUGCACUUUUGUGCCUUCAGGUGUAAUAGCUGACUGUAACGGUUCUGUGCGAUACGUCGGAGACGGCGGCUUGUUGUGUGUGCAGGCGUGCUGCGUGUCGGCAGCUUCGAGUCUGGUUGCCUUGUUGCCUGUAAAUGCAGGCCGGGUGAUGGCUCGUUGCUGUUCGAUAUGCAGUUGCGUUUGUGUCACUUCGACAGGGCCUACAGUCUGUGGUGUAGUGGUAGACUAUCCACCUGACCCGUCUUGAAACACGGACCAAGGAGAGUAACAUGUGCGCGAGUCAUUGGGCGUUACGAAACCCAAAGGCGUAGUGAAAGUAAAGGUCCGGCUCGUCCGGGCUGAGGUGAGAUCCUGUCGUUUCUCACGCGUGGUACCACCAAGCAUCGAGCGGCAGGCGCAUCACCGGCCCGUCCCAUGGCGUGGCAGCUUCGUGCCAGCCUAUCGCCGGGGCGGAGCAUGAGCGUACAUGUUGAGACCCGAAAGAUGGUGAACUAUGCUUGCGCAGGUUGAAGCCAGAGGAAACUCUGGUGGAGGACCGCAGCGAUUCUGACGUGCAAAUCGAU